GAUGAACGCUGGCGGCGCGCCUAACACAUGCAAGUCGAACGAUUAAAGCACCUUCGGGUGUGUAUAAAGUGGCGAACGGCUGAGUAACACGUGGGCAACCUGCCCCUUUCAUUGGGAUAGCCACGGGAAACCGUGGAUAAUACCGAAUACUUCGAGACUUCCGCAUGGAAGACUCGAGAAAGCUCCGGCGGAGAGGGAUGGGCCCGCGGCCUGUUAGCUUGUUGGUGGGGUAACGGCCUACCAAGGCAAUGAUGGGUAGCUGGGUUGAGAGACCGACCAGCCAGAUUGGGACUGAGACGCGGCCCAGACUCCUACGGGAGGCAGCAGUGGGGAAUCUUGCACAAUGGGCGAAAGCCUGAUGCAGCAACGCCGCGUGCGGGAUGAAGGCCUUCGGGUUGUAAACCGCUUUCGGCAGGGACGAGGCGAAAGUGACGGUACCUGCAGAAGAAGCCCCGGCUAACUACGUG
rnacentral:rRNA from 1 species